rnacentral:lncRNA from 1 species
AUGCGGGAAAGAAGAGGAAAUUGGGGGGAAAAGGAGGACAAAUAAGAAAAUACAAGGGGGAGAGGCAGGUCAAAAGAAAGAAGGAAAAAGAAAAAAGAAAAAAAAGGGGGAGAUGGCGUUGGCCAAGAGGGGGAUUACAAGGAAUCCCACUGCACCGAACCUAUAAACCGGAAUAAGGAGGAAAGAAGAACGGGAAAGAAGGGGGAAACAAAGAGGGAAACUGUACCCCAGCUUUAGAGAGAGGUUGAAGGAAGUAAAGAAGGAAGUGUAGAACACGAUGUCUGAAGAAGCAAAGAGAAUCAUAACGAAGGUAUGAUUCCUUUUGUCGACCUGCAACAUUGGUAAAAACUCCUAGCUCUCUUUGUUCUUUCCAUAAUUGCUUUGAAUCAAUCUUCUUAUUACUUUCAAUUUUAUACAUUGGGUGUGUUGAUCAAAUUAUCAUGUUUUAGGGUUUGGGAAAAAGGGUCAAUUCUUGUUUAUUGUUGACAUAAUUGAAAUCAAAGUUAUAAAUAUGAUUGAAUUGUAUAGAAGUAUUCUAGAAGUUACGUUUUGGAUUAGAAGAAUUUGGGUUCUAAGUUGCAAGAACUUAUGUGUCUGUAGAGAAAAGCUAUGUUUCAGUAGCUUACUUUGGCUCUUGAUUUCUAUGUCCUAAUGGAUUCCUUUUGAUCCAUUAUUAUGUGUUUUGAAACUAGACAUGUCAAUGAUCAAAGCCCAUCUGAUUUCAAAUAAUUCUGUUAAGUUUUGAUAUGUCAAAACCAUGUACAAAUUUGAGUCACGAAGCUGCCAAACAACAGCAAAUACUGGAUUUUCAGUUUCGGGGUUCUAUUUUGUAUCUUGCAUAACUUUCAAAUCAAAACCCCGUUUCUUAUAAAUCUUAGAUGUUUUUAAUGUACUCAAAACAAGCUUCGAAUCUCAUGUAAGUUUACAUCAUUUGGUAUAGUUAUGGGUGUUCAAAAUCGGGCUUAAUCUUGGUUGACUAAGACUGUUUUUCUGCAGCUUUUGUGGAGAUAAGGCUGUUGCUUUUGCAAUAUCAUUUCUUCUUACAACUUUAAUUCUAAUUUACUUAUCUAUUUUGAGUUUGUGCUAAAACCACAUGAUAAGGUUACGUAUUGGGUUCCAAAAGAACCACUUUCUUAUAUAAUGAUGUGCCAAUGUAUUUAUGUAUUCUUUACCUAUUCAGGUUGUGUAUACACAUAUUUGUAUAUUCGUGCAUAUGCAUGCAAGUUCUUGAACUACACCAAAAUAGCCUUUACGUUCACAAUUCUUUUUCAUAUUUGCUAUGGCUGUUGGGUAGUUACAACUUUACCGAUCAAAGCAUUUCUUUAAAGUCAGAAACAAUGAAUAUUAUGUAGGUGUGUAUUAUAUGAUUCCAUCCAUUGGCUUAUAAGAUAAAUUUGAGUAAAGUUGUGAUAUGAUUGUAAGCUUAAUUAUUUUAUUGUGUUGGUGCAUUUUUAUACCUAUUGAAACACAUCAUUACUAAUGGUCCAGAAUUAUUCCUUCAUGUGUAUUUACAACGAUUUAUUUUAGAUCAACCAAAAAGGGCAUUGAAUUUGGAUAUUGUUACAUUAGUAAUCCAAAGUACUUUCAUUAGGAUUAAAAUUCAAGUCAUGCAUUUAGUAGUAUCUUGCAUUUGUGAAAUAGAAUUUGGCCAUGAUGGUGGAUCCUUGUGUUAGUAACUAAGAGCAAUGCUUAGGAAUCCAGGUAAGGAAAAUACAUCAUACCUUUAUGGAGAUGAUGAGGUUUAGAUAUACCUGGUACAUUUAGUAGGUACCAUAUGCUUGCUUGGAUUCCGUUAAGUGAUGGUCCGGAAUCAUAUGCUUGUUUGGAUUUCGUUGAGUGAUGAUAGGAGCAUAUUUAUACGACUUAGUUAGCUUGUUUUCUUGCUUUUAAUUAGCUAAACUAUGAUAAUUAUAGUGUUUAAAGUUAUUUUCGUGCAAUUUCAGGUUUUAGUGUCAAAGUAUGCAAAAAGAAGCAAUUUGGAACAUUCUAGAGCAUUUUUGGGCCAAGAUUGGAUUGUGCAAGCAUGGAGGCAUGAGGAUGGACGAAUUUGAAGACAAAAGAGGCUAUGAACAUGCUAAAAAUCUGGUGAAACAAAUACAAGUUGCAAGAAGGGAUAAAUUUCUAGAAUGAUUGACCAAAACUUCACUCAAAACCAAGAAAUUCUUCAAUGCCGUGGGCAUUGAUUCACUUUCACCAGAAAUUUGAGUGAUGAUGUAAUGCUUAAAUCACCAUGACAUGUGAGUGGAUGAUGCAAUGCUUAACUCACCAUGACAUGUGAAUGGAUGACUCAAUACCUAACCCACCAACAAUUCCCACUCUUUGCCUUGCUCACCUACUCAAUUCCACCAGAAUUUUGUGUUAAACAAGUCCAUC